GUGCUGUCUGUGCUGUGUGUCAGAGGACUACAAAAGCGGUGACACCCCCCAACAGCCCCAUUCUAUCCAAGCCUCCUGUUCCCUUUUAAGGCUUGUGUUUGAAGCGACACCUGUCACCAUAGAAACAGCCGGUGGUCCUCCAGAAGAAACACUCGUCACCAUUGAUGGGAGCCAUCCUCCUGGUCCUGGGAGAGAGAGAGACAAACAACAGAUGGAUGUCCUUACCCUGUGGAGGCGUACUGGGAGGCUGAGGAGGUGUUGAGGCCUAUAGGGUUGGUCCUCUGAUGAGAGGGAGGGG